rnacentral:rRNA from 1 species
AUUGAACGCUGGCGGCAGGCCUAACACAUGCAAGUCGAGCGGAGCGGCGGACGGGUGAGUAAUGCCUAGGAAUGUGCCUGGUAGUGGGGGAUAACGUCCGGAAAGGGGAGCUAAUACCGCAUACUAUCAGAUGAGCCUAGGUCGGAUAAGCUAGUUGGUGGGGUAAAGGCUUACCAAGGCGACGAUCCGUAGCUGGUCUGAGAGGAUGAUCAGUCACACUGGAACUGAGACACGGUCCAGAUUCCUACGGGAGGCAGCAGUGGGGAAUAUUGGACAAUGGGCGAAAGCCUGAUCCAGCCAGGCCGAGUGUGUGACGAAGGCCUUCGGGUUGUAAAGCACUUUUAGUUGGGAGGCGUUACCUGCAGAAUAAGCACCGGCUAACUUCGUGCCAGCAGCCGCGGUAAUUC